rnacentral:rRNA from 1 species
ACGGGUGAGUAACAUAUCGGAACGUGCCCUGGAGUGGGGGAUAACUAGUCGAAAGAUUAGCUAAUACCGCAUACGAUCUACGGAUGAAAGUGGGGGACCGCAAGGCCUCAUGCUCGUGGAGCGGCCGAUAUCUGAUUAGCUAGUUGGUGGGGUAAAGGCCUACCAAGGCAUCGAUCAGUAGCUGGUCUGAGAGGACGACCAGCCACACUGGGACUGAGACACGGCCCAGACUCCUACGGGAGGCAGCAGUGGGGAAUUUUGGACAAUGGGGGCAACCCUGAUCCAGCAAUGCCGCGUGAGUGAAGAAGGCCUUCGGGUUGUAAAGCUCUUUUGUCAGGGAAGAAACGGUGGAGAUUAAUACUUUCUGCUAAUGACGGUACCUGAAGAAUAAGCACCGGCUAACUACGUGCCAGCAGCCGCGGUAAUACGUAGGGUGCAAGCGUUAAUCGGAAUUACUGGGCGUAAAGCGUGCGCAGGCGGUUGUGCAAGACCGAUGUGAAAUCCCCGGGCUCAACCUGGGAAUGGCAUUGGUGACUGCACGGCUAGAGUGUGUCAGAGGGGGGUAGAAUUCCACGUGUAGCAG